rnacentral:tRNA from 1 species
GCAGGUUUGGCUCAGUGGAUAGAGCAUCUGCCUGUGGACCAGAGGGUCUGGGUUUGAUUCCAGGGUCUGAG